AGUGAACGCUGGCGGUAGGCCUAACACAUGCAAGUCGAACGGCAGCACAGUAAGAUCUUGCUCUUACGGGUGGCGAGUGGCGGACGGGUGAGGCAUACAUCGGAAUCUACUUUUUCGUGGGGGAUAACGUAGGGAAACUUACGCUAAUACCGCAUACGACCUACGGGUGAAAUCAGGGGAUCUUCGGACCUUUCGCGAUUGAAUGAGCUGAUGUCGGAUUAGCUAGUUGGCGGGGUAAAGGCCCACCAAGGCGACGAUCCGUAGCUGGUCUGAGAGGAUGAUCAGCCACACUGGAACUGAGACACGGUCCAGACUCCUACGGGAGGCAGCAGUGGGGAAUAUUGGACAAUGGGCGCAAGCCUGAUCCAGCCAUACCGCGUGGGUGAAGAAGGCCUUCGGGUUGUAAAGCCCUUUUGUUGGGAAAGAAAAGCAGCAGGUUAAUACCCCGCUGUUCUGACGGUACCCAAAGAAUAAGCACCGGCUAACUUCGUG
rnacentral:rRNA from 1 species